rnacentral:rRNA from 1 species
CUACUCUCUCCAAGGAACUCGGCAAAUUACCACCGUAACUUCGGAAGAAGGUGGGCCCUCCGUAGGUGUAGUCGUACAGACGAAGCCGAUGAGGGUUGCAGAGAAAUGGCGGUAGCGACUGUUUACCAAAACACAGGACUCUGCGAAGGCGACAAGUCGACGUAUAGGGUCUGACUCCUGCCCGGUGCUGGAAGGUUAAGGGGAUUCGUCAGCCGCAAGGCGAAGCGAUGAUCCGAAGCCCCAGUAAACGGCGGCCGUAACAAUAACGGUCCUAAGGUAGCGAAAUUCCUUGUCGGGUAAGUUCCGACCUGCACGAAUGGAGUAACGACUUCCGCGCUGUCUCGGAGAGGGACUCAGCGAAAUUGAAAUAGCUGUGCCGAUGCAGUUUACCCGCAGCAAGACGGAAAGACCCCGUGAACCUUUACUACAACUUGACAGUGACACUAGGGAUUGACUGUGUAGGAUAGGUGGGAGCCUUUGAAACCGGGCCGCUAGGUUCGGUGGAGGCAACGGUGAAAUACCACCCUGUUGAUUUCUGGUGUCUAACCGUGUCCCAUAAUCUGGGAUCGGGACACUGUCUGGUGGGUAGUUUGACUGGGCGGUCGCCUCCCAAAGCGUAACGGAGGCGCGCGAUGGUUCCCUCAGCCCGAUUGGAAACCGGGCGGCGAGUGCAAUGGCAUAAGGGAGCUUAACUGCGAGACAGACAUGUCGAGCAGGUGCGAAAGCAGGUCAUAGUGAUCCGGUGGUUCUGAAUGGAAGGGCCAUCGCUCAACGGAUAAAAGGUACUCCGGGGAUAACAGGCUUAUCUCCUCCAAGAGUUCACAUCGACGAGGAGGUUUGGCACCUCGAUGUCGGCUCAUCGCAUCCUGGGGCUGGAGCAGGUCCCAAGGGUUUGGCUGUUCGCCAAUUAAAGCGGUACGCGAGCUGGGUUCAAAACGUCGUGAGACAGUUUGGUCCCUAUCUGCUGUGGGCGUAGGAUACUUGAGAGGAUCUGUCCUUAGUACGAGAGGACCGGGAUGGAGACACCUCUGGUGUACCAGUUGUCACGCCAGUGGCAUCGCUGGGUAGCCAUGUGUCGAUUGGAUAACCGCUGAAAGCAUCUAAGCGGGAAACCGACCUCAAGAAUAGGUAUCCCGGGGGAAACCCCCUGAAGACCCGUCGAAGACUACGACGUUGAUAGGCCGGGUGUGUAAGCGUGGCAACACGUUGAGCUAACCGGUACUAAUUGGUCGUGCGGCUUACUUU